rnacentral:rRNA from 1 species
UACGAAGGGGGCUAGCGUUGCUCGGAAUCACUGGGCGUAAAGCGCACGUAGGCGGACUCUUAAAUCAGGGGUGAAAUCCUGGAGCUCAACUCCAGAACUGCCUUUGAUACUGGGAGUCUUGAGUUCGGGAGAGGUGAGUGGAACUGCGAGUGUAGAGGUGAAAUUCGUAGAUAUUCGCAAGAACACCAGUGGCGAAGGCGGCUCACUGGCCCGAUACUGACGCUGAGGUGCGAAAGCGUGGGGAGCAAACAGG